GACGAACGCUGGCGGCGUGCUUAACACAUGCAAGUCGAACGGAAAGGCCCUGCUUUUGUGGGGUGCUCGAGUGGCGAACGGGUGAGUAACACGUGAGUAACCUGCCCUUGACUUUGGGAUAACUUCAGGAAACUGGGGCUAAUACCGGAUAGGAGCUCCUGCUGCAUGGUGGGGGUUGGAAAGUUUCGGCGGUUGGGGAUGGACUCGCGGCUUAUCAGCUUGUUGGUGGGGUAGUGGCUUACCAAGGCUUUGACGGGUAGCCGGCCUGAGAGGGUGACCGGCCACAUUGGGACUGAGAUACGGCCCAGACUCCUACGGGAGGCAGCAGUGGGGAAUAUUGCACAAUGGGCGGAAGCCUGAUGCAGCAACGCCGCGUGCGGGAUGACGGCCUUCGGGUUGUAAACCGCUUUCGCCUGUGACGAAGCGUGAGUGACGGUAAUGGGUAAAGAAGCACCGGCUAACUACGUGCCAGCAGCCGCGGUGAUACGUAGGGUGCGAGCGUUGUCCGGAUUUAUUGGGCGUAAAGGGCUCGUAGGUGGUUGAUCGCGUCGGAAGUGUAAUCUUGGGGCUUAACCCUGAGCGUGCUUUCGAUACGGGUUGACUUGAGGAAGGUAGGGGAGAAUGGAAUUCCUGGUGGAGCGGUGGAAUGCGCAGAUAUCAGGAGGAACACCAGUGGCGAAGGCGGUUCUCUGGGCCUUUCCUGACGCUGAGGAGCGAAAGGGUGGGGAGCGAACAGGCUUAGAUACCCUGGUAGUCCACGCUGUAAACGGUGGGUACUAGGUGUGGGGUUCAUUCCACGGGUUCCGUGCCGUAGCUAACGCUUUAAGUACCCCGCCUGGGGAGUACGGCCGCAAGGCUAAAACUCAAAGGAAUUGACGGGGCCCCGCACAAGCGGCGGAGCAUGCGGAUUAAUUCGAUGCAACGCGUAAAACCUUACCUGGGUUUGACAUGGAUCGGGAGUGCUCAGAGAUGGGUGUGCCUCUUUUGGGGUCGGUUCACAGGUGGUGCAUGGCUGUCGUCAGCUCGUGUCGUGAGAUGUUGGGUUAAGUCCCGCAACGAGCGCAACCCUUGUUCACUGUUGCCAGCACGUUAUGGUGGGGACUCAGUGGAGACCGCCGGGGUCAACUCGGAGGAAGGUGGGGAUGACAUCAAGUCAUCAUGCCCCUUAUGUCCAGGGCUUCACGCAUGCUACAAUGGCUGGUACAGAGAGUGGCGAGCCUGUGAGGGUGAGCGAAUCUCGGAAAGCCGGUCUCAGUUCGGAUUGGGGUCUGCAACUCGACCUCAUGAAGUCGGAGUCGCUAGUAAUCGCAGAUCAGCAACGCUGCGGUGAAUACGUUCCCGGG
rnacentral:rRNA from 1 species